rnacentral:rRNA from 1 species
AUUGAACGCUGGCGGCAGGCUUAACACAUGCAAGUCGAGCGAGCGGCGGACGGGUGAGUAAUGUCUGGGAAACCGCCUGAUGGAGGGGGAUAACUACUGGAAACGGUAGCCAAUACCGCAUCCCAUCAGAUGUGCCCAGAUGGGAUUAGCGAGUAGGUGGGGUAAUGGCUCACCUGGGCGACGAUCCCUAGCGGGUCCGAGAGGAUGACCGCCCACACGGGAACUGGGACACGGCCCAGACUCCACCGGGAGGCAGCAGUGGGGAAUAUUGCACAAUGGGCGCAAGCCUGAUGCAGCCAUGCCGCGUGGGGGAGGAAGGCCUUCGGUUUUAAAAGCACUUUCAGCGAGGAGGCGUUACUCGCAGAGGAAGCCCCGGCUAACUCCGUGCCAGCAGCCGCGGUAAUUC